rnacentral:rRNA from 1 species
GAUGAACGCUGGCGGCGUGCCUAAUACAUGCAAGUCGAGCGAACAGACGAGGAGCUUGCUCCUCUGACGUUAGCGGCGGACGGGUGAGUAACACGUGGAUAACCUACCUAUAAGACUGGGAUAACUUCGGGAAACCGGAGCUAAUACCGGAUAAUAUAUUGAACCGCAUGGUUCAAUAGUGAAAGACGGUUUUGCUGUCACUUAUAGAUGGAUCCGCGCCGCAUUAGCUAGUUGGUAAGGUAACGGCUUACCAAGGCAACGAUGCGUAGCCGACCUGAGAGGGUGAUCGGCCACACUGGAACUGAGACACGGUCCAGACUCCUACGGGAGGCAGCAGUAGGGAAUCGUCCGCAAUGGGCGAAAGCCUGACGGAGCAACGCCGCGUGAGUGAUGAAGGUCUUCGGAUCGUAAAACUCUGUUAUUAGGGAAGAACAAAUUUGUAAGUAACUAUGCACGUCUUGACGGUACCUAAUCAGAAAGCCACGGCUAACUACGUG